rnacentral:rRNA from 1 species
UAGGGUUUGAUCAUGGCUCAGAAUGAACGCUGGCGGCAGGCCUAAAACAUGCAAGUCGAACGCUCUAGCAAUAGAGAGUGGCGCACGGGUGAGUAACACGUGGGAAUAUGCCUUUUGGUACGGAAUAGCUCCGGGAAACUGGAAUUAAUACCGUAUGGUCCCUUCGGGGUAAAGAUUUAUCGCCAAAAGAUUAGCCCGCGCUGGAUUAGCUAGUUGGUAAGGUAAUGGCUUACCAAGGCGACGAUCCAUAGCUGGUCUGAGAGGACGAUCAGCCACACUGGGACUGAGACACGGCCCAGACUCCUACGGGAGGCGGCAGUUAGGAAUAUUGGACAAUGGGGGCAACCCUGAUCCAGCCAUGCCGCGUGAGUGAUGAAGGCCUUCGGGUUGUAAAGCUCUUUAGCCGACGAUUAUAAUGACUGUAGUCGGAAAAUAAGCCCCGGCUAACUUCGUGCCAGCAGCCGCGGUAAUUC